GGCGAAGCCGCGAGGUGGAGCAAAUCCCAAAAGUAACGUCUCAGUUCGGAUUGUAGUCUGCAACUCGACUACAUGAAGCUGGAAUCGUUAGUAAUCGCGAAUCAGAAUGUCGCGGUGAAUACGUUCCCGGGUCUUGUACACACCGCCCGUCACACCAUGAGAGUCGGGAACACCCGAAGUCCGUAGCCUAACCGCAAGGGGGGCGCGGCCGAAGGUGGGUUCGAUAAUUGGGGUGAAGUCGUAACAAGGUACC
rnacentral:rRNA from 1 species